ACCACUAUAUACCCCUGGGGAGUGACGGAUUACAAUUAUUACAAUCACUCGACCAUUGAGAAGCCCCUCAAUUCGAAUCACGUCAGUUUGACAACAGUUGUCAUUUCCAUUUUUGUUUACCUCUGAUGGUGUUUCUGAUUCAAAAAUCAGUAGAUCACCGAAAUCGACCACAACAAAUUUCGUUAAUUUAAAUAGCAGUGCGGUUGGAAUUGCAAAUGCCUUGUAGGUAUUAUAUGCCGACAAAAAUGAACAUGGAUACUACAUGGUUCGGAGCAGCAAAGAUCCGGAGGUGAUCCGACGGUGCGCCUCGGUAUCGGAAAGUGGUGUCACCGGCAUGUGCAACUGGGGCGUCUACGAGAACGGGGUCUACUGGGAGGAGUGCUAUUGUGCCCAGGAUGACUGCAACCAUGCGGCGAAAUCUGUCACCAUUUCGGCUGUGAGCCUUGUGUGCCUUAUAGGUUUAAGUUUCAUGUUCAGACAAAUGUUCGCCUAACGGUUUCUCUGUUAAAUACAAACAUACAAACUGAAAGCUAACAAAA